GUGUUCCACGCGAUGAAAUCGGUGGAAUACAUGUCCAAUCAUUUGGUGGUUCCAGAUACGUUUUUGUCAACUUUACUCAAAAAAACUAUCCCGAAGCAGAGGCAUACUGUUCUGAUAUUUGUGGAUCACUUGUCGAAAUCAAUACCAAAGAGGAAGACGACUACCUUAUGACAACAACGCAAUCAUUAAACGUUGUAUCGUUUUGGAUAGGAUUAAAGUCGAACGACGGGUCGAGUUUCGAAUGGCCUUCGGGCAAUACAAUAAUUACUAACGUGUAUGAAAAUUUUGUGGAUCAGAGAGAUGCUAAAGAUAAAGGAAGUUGUGUGUCCGCAUAUAAUGAUUUUAACAGUUGGAGGUGGGAACCGUUUGUAAAAGAAUUUUGCGAUGA